GUGUGACGGGGAAACUUCGCAGGCAGGCUAAAGGGCUCCCCGGUUUAAAAGUGAGCAGGGCUCUCCAUGUAUGGGACUGUGGUCCUGAUUCGAAGCCACGGUUCCAGGGCCGUAUAUGGAGAGCCUGUGAUUUGUAAGACACCCUCGUGGCACAGCAAACUACAACUGCAUACGGGAUCCCAGUUGGGAAGCCCUUAUCGAGGAGCGCAACUGUAUAGCCAUAUAGGAACGACAACACGAAGGAAAGAAGAGUUCCCACCAUAAAUCCAGAGAAUGCCAGACUUUGAUGCCAAAGUUUGAUGCCAAAAUUUGCCCACAAAGGCCUGCCGAGCCACCUUCACAAGAUUGUUUGGAUGCAGGAUGAUGUCAGUAUGUUUGUUCCUUCCAGAUGAGGUCACUGCCAACAUGACCCUGGUGGAGGAGAGCCUGACGGCCGAGUUUGUCCAGGACCUCUCCAUGACCCUUCAGCCUGUGAAGGUGGCCCACACACUGCCUUCCUAGAGUUCAGCUAUUUCACAGACCUGCUGCCUCUGCUCGUUGACCAGCGUCUCUUGAUUGGUUGCAGGACACAGACCUGAUAAAGAUCACCACUCAGGCAGCAAAGCACAGCAGCCUCAAUCACAAGGUGGCACACACACAGCACUUAAGAAGAUCCUAAGAGGGGAGCAGCCAAUAAAUAUCAUACUAUUAUUAUUCAUAUCUAAUGAAUUUAAAAGAGUAACAGUCUCUCUUAUCCAUUUUCCUGACUCCUUGUCUUCUAUGUGGGGAUCCAAGACCUUUACUAGUCGGGGUGGGGGAGGGUCUGUUUGCAUCUGCCAAACUGUUUGCAUCUGCCAGGUGUGCCUGUCCCAAAACAUCCUAUAGGCUACAGUUAAUCUCUUUCCAUAACAUUUUGGAGAAUUAAGGAGAAUUAAGGAGAAUUAAGGAGUAUGAGAGGCUCAAAUAAAGAUGUUACAGAACUGCUGUAUUUGAAGCACUCCUCCCUUCUGCCCUGUUUCCCUGAUGUUGCUAAGGUAACCAAGCUGUUUUUAGCAUCCCUGUAACUGUCGCUUCUGCGGAGAGUUGGUUUUCUUAACUAAAACUCAUAAAGAACUACCUAAGAACAAA